rnacentral:tRNA from 1 species
GGCGUCAUCGUCUAGAGGCCCAGGACAUCGGUUUUUCAAGCCGAGAAUCGCGGGUUCGAAUCCCGCUGACGCUA